rnacentral:rRNA from 1 species
UACGGAGGAUCCAAGCGUUAUCCGGAAUUACUGGGCGUAAAGAGUUGCGUAGGUGGCAUUGUAAGCGGGUAGUAAAAUGACGAGGCUCAACCUUGUGUCUAUUACCUGAACUGCAAAGCUAGAGGACGAGAGAGGUUAUUGGAAUUCCUAGUGUAGGAGUGAAAUCCGUAGAUAUUAGGAGGAACACCGAUGGCGUAGGCAGAUAACUGGCUCGUUUCUGACACUAAGGCACGAAAGCGUGGGGAGCAAACGGGG